rnacentral:rRNA from 1 species
CGGCCGUAACUAUAACGGUCCUAAGGUAGCGAAAUUCCUUGUCGGGUAAGUUCCGACCCGCACGAAAGGUGUAACGAUUUGGGCACUGUCUCAACGAGGGACCCGGUGAAAUUGAAAUACCUGUGAAGAUGCAGGUUACCCGCGACUGGACAGAAAGACCCCAUGGAGCUUUACUGUAACCUGACAUUGGGUUUUGAUACAUUACGUACAGGAUAGGUGGGAGGCUUGGAAAGCUGGACGCUAGUCUGGCUGGAGCCGACGUUGGGAUACCACCCUUGAUGUAUUGAAAUUCUAACCGCGAGAGUAACGAAAUCCGGGACAGUGUCAGGCGGGCAGUUUGACUGGGGCGGUCGCCUCCGAAAGAGUAACGGAGGCGCCCAAAGGUUCCCUCAGCGCGGCCGGAAAUCGCGCGAAGAGUGUAAAGGCAGAAGGGAGCUUGACUGCGAGUCAAACACGACGAGCAGGUACGAAAGUAGGGCUUAGUGAUCCGGUGGUACCGAGUGGAAGGGCCAUCGCUCAACGGAUAAAAGCUACCCUGGGGAUAACAGGCUAAUCUCUCCCAAGAGUCCAUAUCGACGGGGAGGUUUGGCACCUCGAUGUCGGCUCAUCACAUCCUGGGGCUGAAGUCGGUCCCAAGGGUUGGGCUGUUCGCCCAUUAAAGUGGUACGUGAGCUGGGUUCAGAACGUCGUGAGACAGUUCGGUCCCUAUCCAUCGCGGGCGCAAGAGAUUUGAAGGGGGCUGCUCCUAGUACGAGAGGACCGGAGUGGACGAACCGCUGGUGUACCAAUUAUCCCGCCAGGGGUACAGUUGGGUAGCUACGUUCGGAAAGGAUAAACGCUGAAAGCAUCUAAGCGUGAAACCAGCCUUAAGAUGAGAUCUCUCAUAGAGCAAUCUAGUAAGACACCUUAAAGAAGAUGAGGUUGAUAGGUCGGGAGUGUAAGUACAGCAAUGUAUUGAGCGGACCGAUACUAAUAUGUCGAGGGCUUGACUUA